GUCUGAAAACAAUAUGUAAUUAGCCACCAGAAUAUUAACAACUAAUCUCUAAAGACAAUGAUAGUGAAUGAGAAUUUCUCCUUGACGAGGCUAAGAGAACUUACAUGAAUCCAACCCAAGGGAAAUAAAGAGAGUCUGUCCUGAACUUAGAAUAUUUCCUCUUCGUUUAGUGUUUGACAAUAAUCCGAGGUUGACUCCUGCUUUGGGAUUAUGAGAGUAGUGAUAU